UAGUCAUAUGUGUAUAAUAACAGUAGAAGUAUGACUAAUGACUAAUGAUGGCAGCAGCAGCAGCAGCAGGAGGCAUCUGGCAGGACCACGGCAGCAGCACAACCACACACGUCACGCUGUCCAGGCACCGCUGUGAUAUGAGUUAAUCUGAGAGACAGUGGAGCACAAAGGCUCCGGAGAAGAAGCCGAGUUAGUGACAUCCAGAAUGGCCGAGUUAGCAAGAUGCAGUAAUAGAAUACGAGAGAGAGAGAGAGAGAGAGAGAGAGAGAGAGAGAAGGAGAGAAGGUGCCCGGUGUAUUAUAGGGGGGUCCUCCGGCAGACUAGGCCUAAGUCAGCCUAACUAGGGGCUGGUACAGGGCAAGCCUGAGCCAGCCCUAACUAUAAGCUUUAUCAAAGAGGAAAGUCUUAAGUCUAGUCUUAAAUGUGGAGACGGUGUCUGCCUCCCGGACCGUAACAGGAAGAUGAUUCCACAGGAGAGGAGCCUGAUAGCUGAAGGCUCUGGCUCCUGAUCUACUUUUGGAGACUUUAGGGACCACGAGUAACCCUGCGUUCUCAGAGCGCAGUGUUCUGGUGGGAUAAUAUGGCACUAUGAGCUCUCUAAGAUAUGAUGGAGCUUGACCAUUUAGAGCUUUAUAAGUUAACAGUAGGAUUUUAAAUUCAAUUCUGGAUUUUACAGGGAGCCAGUGCAGAGAAGCUAAAACAGGAGAGAUAUGAUCUCGUUUCUUAGUUCCUGUUAGUACACGUGCUGCUGCAUUCUGAAUUAGCUGGAGAGUUUUUAAGGACUUACUAGAGCUACCUGAUAAUAGAGAGUUACAAUAAUCCAGCCUUGAGGUAACAAAAGCGUGGACCAAUUUUUGUGCAUCUUUUCGGGUCAGGAUAGGCCUAAUUUUCGCAAUAUUACGCAGAUGAAAAAAUGCAGUCCGUGAGGUUUGUUUUAAAUGAGAAUUAAAAGACAAAUCUUGAUCAAAUAUCACUCCGAGGUUUCUUACGGUAGUGCUAGAGGCCAGAGCAAUGCCAUCUAGAGAAACUAUG